rnacentral:rRNA from 1 species
GACGUAGGGGGCGAGCGUUGCCCGGAUUCACUGGGCGUAAAGCGGGUGUAGGCGGUCCGUUAAGUCGAGUGUGAAAUCUCCAGGCUCAACCUGGAAACUGCACCCGAUACUGGCGGACUUGAGGACGGUAGAGGUCGGUGGAAUGCGCAGUGUACCGGUGAAAUGGACAGAUAUUGCGCGGAACACCAGUGGCGAAGGCGGCCGACUGGGCCGAUCCUGACGCUGAGACCCGAAAGCCAGGGGAGCGAACCGG